GCGGACGUGGUGGAAUUGGUAGACACGCUAGAUUUAGGAUCUAGUGGGCUUUUGCCUGUGGGGGUUCGAGUCCCCCCGUCCGCACCA
rnacentral:tRNA from 1 species